GUAUUUCAUUGCGUUAAACGCGACAUACAUUCCAUUAGACUUUAUUUCAAUGUGUGUGUGUAAAGACGCAGAACCACAGCAGGGGGACAGAGCCCACCCAGGCCAUAGAACUACAGAGGGUGCACAGGUGUGAGUGGAUGUGUAAACAGAGCGUGCACAUGCCCCCAUACAGGGACCAGCAACAACUCUUGUUGACAAUUCGGUAAUGAUCCUUCCGCAGGUUCACCUACGGAAA
rnacentral:misc_RNA from 1 species